UUUCCUACGGGGGGCAGCAGUGGGGAAUAUUGGGCAAUGGGCGCAAGCCUGACCCAGCGACGCCGCGUGAGGGAAGACGGUCUUCGGAUUGUAAACCUCUUUCAGCAGGGAAGACAAAAGGACGGUACCUGCAGAAGAAGCCACGGCUAACUACGUGCCAGCAGCCGCGGUAAUACGUAGGGAGCAAGCGUUAUCCGGAUUUAUUGGGUGUAAAGGGUGCGUAGACGGGUAUACAAGUUAGUAGUGAAAUCCCUCGGCUUAACUGAGGAACUGCUACUAAAACUAUAUAUCUUGAGUACUGGAGG
rnacentral:rRNA from 1 species